rnacentral:ncRNA from 1 species
CAAAGGUUUGGUCCUAACUUUACUGUCGACUAUAGCUAAAAUUACACAUGCAAGUAUCUGCCCUCCUGUGAGGAUGCCCUCAAAGCUCUUAUGAGAUCGAGGAGCUGGUAUCAGGCACACUUAGGUGGCCCAUAACACCUUGCUUAGCCACACCCCCAAGGGAAUUCAGCAGUGAUUAAUAUUAAGCAAUAAGUGAAAACUUGACUUAGUUAAAGCUAAAAGAGUCGGUAAAAUUCGUGCCAGCCACCGCGGUUAUACGAAAGACUCAAGCUGACAGCCAUCGGCGUAAAGAGUGGUUAGGAAUAUACUAAACUAAAGCCGAAUGUAUUCUUAGCUGUUCAACGCAUUCGAAAAUAAGAAGCUCAGUAACGAAAGUAGCUUUAAAUUUCUGACCCCACGAAAGCUAUGAAGCAAACUGGGAUUAGAUACCCCACUAUGCAUAGCAGUAAACACAGAUAAGUACAUACUUCUAUUAUCCGCCAGGGUACUACAAGCAUAAGCUCAAAACCCAAAGGACCUGGCGGUGCUUUAUAACCCCCUAGAGGAGCCUGUUCUAGAACUGAUAAUCCCCACUCAACCUCACCCCUUCUUGCCAAUACCGCCUAUAUACCGCCGUCGUCAGCUUACCUUAUUGAAAGCCUAAUAGUGAGCAAAAUUGGUAAACCCCUAAACGUCAGGUCGAGGUGUAGUAAAUGAAGGGGGAAGAAAUGGGCUACAUUCGUUGAUUAACGAAUAACGGACAACAUGUUGAAAUUACAUAUUUAAAGGAGGAUUUAGUAGUAAGAAGAAAGUAGAAUAUUCUUCUGAAAUUGGCCCUAAAGCACGCACACACCGCCCGUCACUCUCCCCUAGCACAAAUAAACCAUUAAAUAAAUAGUUACACAGCCAAAGGGGAGGCAAGUCGUAACAUGGUAAGUGUACCGGAAGGUGCACUUGGAGUAAU